AGGCAGAAAACCUAUUUCAGGAACUUCAAGAACAUUUUCAAGCUCUAACUGCAACUCUGAACCUCAGAAAUAUCCUUUCUAUCUUAUAACAAAUACUAUAAUGCUUUUGAACUGUAAUAUUAUCAAGGAAUAUCUUUUGUCUGCUAUUAGUGGAUAAUUGUUGACCUACGAUGUCCUGGUGUUUACAUUGUGCCUUUCCAUGAUAUCCUGGUGUAUUAACUACCACCCACAGGUCAUUACUUCCUGCCUGGCCAGCCAUCAGGGCAUUUUGUAUGAGAGCAAUACGAUACAAGGACGCAAUGCACGAUACUACCCAGUGGGGCUUUCUGAGCCUACAGACUACUAAAUCUGAGUAGUCUGCUGAAUAACAUCUAUGCACUUCCACGGAAUCAGAAACUUGCAAACAUCACAUGGAAUGUCUCCAACCGAGGAUACUAUAUAUGGCUCUCCUGACCUUUGUUUUGUUUGGUUUUGCAACUUCAGCAGCCAUUUUAAGACAUGAAUUCAAACAGAAUUAGAGUAAAAUGUUUGUUUCCAGUUUGAGCAAAUCCAGAUAAGCUGUAAUAUCGGUCCUAAGACUUAGAGCGCUAGAGCUCACUUUACUAAUUGAAUUCGUUCCAUAGAAAUUGUUUAAAAAAGGGGCGCCUGGGUGGCUCAGUCGGUUCAGCAUCCGCUUGAGGCUCAGGUCAUGAUCUCACGUCUGUAGGUUCAAGCCCCCUGUGGGGCUCUGUGCUGACAGCUCGGAGCCUGGAGCCUGCUUCGGAUUCUGUAUCUCCCUCUCUCUCUUUCAAAAAUAAACAUUUUAAAAAAUUAAAAAAGAAAAAAGAACUGAGCUUACAAUUCAGAGGUUAAAGACACACUCCAAAAACCUCAGGGGAAUAGUUAAUUUGCACUGACCUUAAGGUAUUAGUACGCGUAGUCUUUGAAUCCCUCGUUUUAAGUGUUGCACUGCCAGGGCAUUUUAUCAAUAGGCUCGAUGAGUAGCUGCAAUCUGAAGGAUCUCUCAGGACUUUCUGGCUGGUGCUCUGUACCCUGUGUAAAAUUCUCCUUAACGUUGUACUGGAAGAAAUGGGAAAUCGCAUCGAAGAUUUACAGAAGAAUGUGAAUGACUUAAUGGUGCAAGCUGGGAUUGAAAAUUCUAUUAAAGAACAAAUGGUAAGGCCAUUAUUAGGAAACUAAAUAUGUUUGUCUUUUGCAUAUCUUUUGAUUGCUUUCAUCUUGAAAAAUACAAUCCCGUAUUUGUUCACUGUGGGGACUAUUGCCUCUGUACUUCAUGGAAAAUCUUCAGGAAUAAUAAGACAUUUACAAAUGCUCUUUUCUAAAUAGACUAAGAGAAACACUCCUUGUCAUAGUUCCUUAAAAAGUGUACAGUUUAUUUAUUUAAAAAAUUUUUUUUAAUGUUUAUCUAUUCUUGAGAGAUAGAGACAGAGCACAAGCAGGGGACGGGCAAAGAAAGACACAGAACCUGAAGCAGGCUCCAGGCUCGGAGCCGUCAGCACAGAGCCCAACGCAGGGCUCGAACCCACAGACUGCAAGAUCAUGACCUGAGCCGAAGUCAGACACCCAACUGACUGAGUCACCCAGGCGCCCCAAAAAGUGUACAGUUUAUUUAUUUAUUUUUUAAUUUUUUUUUUAACGUUUAUUUAUUUUUGAGACAGAGAGAGACAGAGCAUGAAUGGGGGAGGGUCAGAGAGAGGGAGACACAGAAUCGGAAACAGGCUCCAGGCUCCGAGCUGUCAGCAUAGAGCCCGACGCGGGGCUCAAACUCACAGACCGUGAGAUCGUGACCUGAGCCGAAGUCGGCCGCUCAACUGACUGAGCCACCCAGGCGCCCCAAAAGUGUACAGUUUAAAUGACGAGCUCUACUAUUUAAAAAAUGGAUGUUAUUAAAGUGCUUUUCACAACCACCCCUCAAAUUAGUCUUCUAUCAAAACACAAAUCAUGAUGAAUUGGAGACUGGGGAUUAUGACGUGGUUUCUGUUUCAGACAAUAUAUUUAUAUAACCAUUUGAAGAAGACAUACGGGCGUUAAGCCCUCAACCCGUUUCUCAGUGGUUCGUGGGCCGUCCAUCCUGGCCUCCCACAAUGCAAACCUUUCCAGUGGAAUGUUGCAUUUAAUCUUGAAGAUCCGAGUAAAUGCUUGGCUUCAGGUCUCAGACUGGAUCUGUAUCUAUGUGCUGUAUGUGGAGGUUCACAACUUCAUUAAGAUACUUAUGUCUAUUUUAUUCUGACAGAUAAGAAUAAUAGGUUAUUCUCAUUGAACGAUUAGGUGUCUUUGUUUCCCUUGUUUUACUGUCUCUUUUAUAAUUAUCCUAAGUCAGCUGGCAAAUGAUCCCCACUUAAUCCUGCUAAAUCAGGGCCAGUUCACCUAUCAGCGACUUACAAAUACCCACAUCUCGUAUCCUGGUAACAAAGGUAAUCGUAACCUGCGUCCCGCUGCCACCGUAAAACGCUGCAGAGGACGCUCUGUCUCUGAGGUGAAGACAUAGCUUCAAUCAGGCUCCCUCGACGGGGCCCACCAGUCCUGAGGCGGGGCGAGCAAGCCCUCCCCCGCCCCCCUGCAGGGCUGACUGAGUGAGAAGAGGAGAGCCUCAGGGCAGGAAGCCCUGUGCCCAGAAGAGAUCUGGCACACUGCAGGCAUGGGAUGGCAGCCAGGUGACCAGGUCCCUGCCCUCCAUCACUCAGAUCUAGCUGCUGUUUUAAAUUUGGUCGAAACCACUAAAUAUUAGGCAUCAAGUUAAGUGAUCAAGUAGGUGUGGAAACCUCACUACGUGAUGUGCACGCAGCCUGAGAGAAGGUCAGACCUCCAAGUGUGUUUAAAAGUGGUACUGCCUUCUAAAUGAAAAGACCUAAACAAACUGAGAUGUUUGCACAAAUCUGUACUUGUUGGUUGUGCUUGGUCGCACUAGGUCAGGGUUAACACAGGGCUGGCUUGUGCUGUAAAUCUCAGGGGAUUGUGCACACCCCUCAAACCUGUGUUCCAGUUGUGGGGAACCCAAGAUGUUAAAAACUACUGUUCUAUAUUCCGAUAGAUCUGGUACUUUGUCCGUCUCCCCAUUAAAUGACGUUGUAACACCUUUCCCGCAAUUACUUAGGCACAGAUAGGCGGUGAGUGUGUGGGUGGAGGGAGCAGGGCGCUUCCCUCUGGGGUACUGUGUGCUCAGUCACCGCGGUGGAAUACUGAUGCAGGAGUCACGUUUCGGUAAGAGAACGUGCCGUUUAUUCACCUGCAGUUGUGAACCCACACUGACUCCAUCCAUCAAACAUGAAAAAUUUGUGGUUUUCUAUACACUCAAUUUUUCCUAUCCACAAAAUGUUUUAAUAAUUAAGGGAAAUUGGGGCACCUGGGUGGCUCAGUCAGUUGAGCCCCUGACUUCGGCUCAGGUCACGAUCUCACAGUUAGUUUGAGCCCCAUGCGGGUCUCUGUGCUGACAGCUCAGAGCCUGGAGCCUGCUUCGGAUUCUGUGUCUCCCUCUCUGUCUGCCUCUCCCCUACUUGUGCUCUCUCUGUCUCUCUCUCUGUUUCUCUCUCUCAAAAAUAAAUAAACAUUAAAAUUUUUUUUUUAAUUACAGGAAAUUAAGGUAUUUUACUGAAAGCUUUGGAUUCCAGGUUAUUUAACUGUGCAUUAAUUGGUAUAUAAAUCAACCAUUACCUCUUUCAAAUUUUUUCUUACAGACCUGAAGACUUGAAAAUAUGAUAAAGUCAAAGUUGUACUUUUUGAAUGACAAUUUGCAUAGUAUGUGUUCUGGUUUUUACUAUUUAAUUUAAAAAUUCAUUUUAAUGAAGUGAAAGAUUAAAAGAACAAUGCAAUAAGAACAUAGUUUAGAAGGUGAUUAACCACUUGACCCAGAUGGUUCUAAAAUGGCAGAACAUCUUUCAACGCAUACCUAGUAUUUACAAGUCAUGGGAGGGAAGCUUAAGCUAUAUCAGGUCAGCUCUUUUUCCUGAAUUAAGUUCUAGAUAGAUCUUUUUAAAAAAUCAUAAGCUGUUUUGUGACUGAGAUUUCUUUUUCAAUACCUGCAUUCCAACUCAGCUUUUCCAGUCAUAUGGUUCUCUGGCUGGUCCAAACACAUUCUGAUAGCAAUGUUCUCCAAACCAAACAAAACCCCGGAAAACAGCCCGCCUCGUCCCAGGCCACCCUUGCCCAGUCUGCUCCUAAGGAGGAGGUCACCAAGAAGAAGCACAAAGAUCACAGUUCAGCUUCUUCUGUAGGUUAUAUAGAGACGUUUUCAAAUAAUUAUCCAAUUUGCCUCUCUGAGCCAAAGUAAAGCAGAACAGGGUCGGUAAUAGGCUCUCAUUGUAAAAAUAACACGAUUCCUGCAUAUGAGAUAGAUUUUAUUCUUCAUACAAAAGUCAAAACCACCCAUAAUUCUACAAUUUAAAUUGAAUUAGCCACUUAAACAUUUUUCUGUACAUACAAUUCUAUAUAUGGUUGAUGAUGAUGUUUAUAAUCUCAUAUCCUGUUCUCUUCAUAUCAUAAACAUUUUUCCAUCUGAAAAUUUCACACACUUCUUAUAUUUUUUUUUAUGGCUGACUACUAUUCUAUCAUAUGGAUGUAAUAAUUUAACCAUUUCCUUGACUGUUCCUUGGACAUUGACGGUAUUUCCCACCAUCUUGCUACUAUAAAUAAUGCUGUAAGGAACACUGUUACCAUGAAUUCUCUGCAUGUUUCAUUAGGGUCAGAAGUGUGACUGAAGACCGAGUACAUUAGUCAAAUGCAUUUAAGAAAUGAAGCAUCAUUUUAUACUCCCAACAGUGGUGUAUGUCUUUCCUUUUUUAAUCCAAAGUUUUAAAAUGGCAUCAUUUAUAUUCAGUAUUCUGGGGCGCCUGGGUGGCUGUCGGUUAAGCGUCCGACUUCA
rnacentral:lncRNA from 1 species